GAAAUAUCUGAGAUAUUCUAGUUAAUAUAUAUAUUAUAUAUAUGUAAGUAAUGAUUAUUAUUAAUAUUUUAUAUUAUAUUAUAUUAUAUAUAUAUAUAUGACAAAGAAAGAAAGAAAAGAAACAGAGAGCAAAACAAAACAAAACAGAGAAGGGAGAAAGAAAGAAACAGAGAGCAAAACAAAACAGAAAAGGAAGGAAGGAAAGAAAGAAAGAAAAGAAAAGAAAAAGGGAAAUUUGGGGUUUUAAGGUUCAAAGUAAUUUGGUAAGUCAAUUUAAUCCCCUUUUCUCUUAAUUUUGAUAUUUUUUUUGAAAUUUUGAAAGUUAGUAGAUUAUUAAGCAUGGUUCAUGUUGAAUAAAUUGUUAAAUUAGGGAUGUAUUUGAUAGAAAUUUUGAUUGGAAUUGAAUAAAGGAUUGAAUUGUAAACUAAACUAUAAGUUUUGAAUUUUAGGGAUUAAUUUGAAAUAAAUUCGGAAUUAUGAAAACAUGAUAAAAAUUAAAUAGUUAAAUAUGAGUUUAGUAAGAAUUAAGAGAGAAUAUAGAGUUAGAUUGGGAAAAAUAAAAUUAGUAUUGGUAAGGGAUUAAAUUAGAAUUUGGGUAAAGUUUAGGUAUAAAAGGAAAUAUUUUAAUGAAAUUGUGUAUUAAUGAUUUUUAAUUGUUUAAUUACGUAGCUAAUGUCGUGUACGAGUCAUUGUCCGAGAAAGGAAAGGAGAAAGUGGACAAGGAGUGACUCGAGAGAAAUUACGGUUAGUAUUACUAUAAUUCGAAUUUAAUUAUUAAUCGUUGAAAAUUAAAUUAAUAUACACGAUAAGCAAAUUGAGGUGAGUUUCAUAAUUGAAUUGAAUAAUAUAUAUACGUAUUGAUAUUGAAUUUAUUGACAGUAAUUAUUGAAUUUUGAAUAAUAUGUUAGUAAAUAAAAAUAAGGAGAAUAUCAAUAUUUAAUUGAAUGAAUUAAAAUAUGAAUUGAAUAAAUGAUAUAUUAAAUUGAGAUAUGUGAAUUGUGUAUUGAUUGAAAAGUGGUUUGAAUUGAAUCGAAGUAUGAUUAUAUGUGAAUAUCUGAAAUAUGUAUUGGUAUUGAAUUGUAUAUUGAUUUGAAAGUGGGAAGUGAAUCUGAGUUGAAUUGCGAUUAAAUCGAAAGUGAAUUUGAAAUAGAAAAAUGUAUUGAAACAAAUGGUGAUUAAAUGGGAAUGAUUUGAAUUGAAAGUAUGAGAAAGUGAUUGAAUUGAAAUGUGAUUCGGAAACCCUAUUAACUAGUCGGGCUGAGUCGGAUAUAGUUGGCAUGCCAUAGGAUUGGAAGAGUUCAGGGAUACUUCGACCUUGAGUCGAUGAGACACUGGAUGUCAUACUAUUACUUCGGAUAGAUUCGAUGAGGUACUGGGUACCAACUUACUUCGGCUUGGCCGAUGAGACACUGGGUGUCAACUAUUGCUUCGAACUAUCCGAUGAGGCAUUGGGUGCCAUUCUGGUGUGUUUGGUUGGAUCCGUGUAUCCGCCAAGGUCCGAGUCUUGUUAAUAGGGGUAAAUAAUUGAAAUGAGAAAAUUGAAUAAAUGUGAUUGAUUGAGCUAUGGGAAGAAACGAAAAAGUGAAGUUGUGAAUUGAUGUGUGAAUUGGAAAUCGAAAUAAGAGAUUUAAAGAUAUGAACCCAAAGUUCAUGAUAUGAUAAAGAGUAAAUUUUGUUAUAUGAUAUUAGUGAGUACAAAUUGCAAUAAAAUUUAUAUUGAAUAUAAAUUAAAUGAAAUGAAUUGUAUAUGAAUUGAAAUGAACUAUUGGAAUGAGAUGUAAAGAAAAAUCCAAUGGAAUUGAGAUAGUGAAAUAAGGUAUGAAUACAAUUAAAUACAAGAUUUGAAUUAUAGCUUAUUGUUAUUAAUUAUCAAGUUGAUUUAAUGCAUGAGAUAAUUAAUGAAUAAUUGUAGACAUAAAUAAAAUGUAUAUAAUUUAUCGAUUAAUGUUAUUAAUUCGAAUUAUGGUAAUACCACUGAGUAUUUCCAUACUCAGCGUACGGUUGUUUCCGUGCGCAGGUUAGGUCAAAGUCGGAUUGUUG
rnacentral:lncRNA from 1 species